rnacentral:rRNA from 1 species
CAAUAAGCGGAGGAAAAGAAACUAACAAGGGAUUCCCCUAGUAACUGCGAGUGAAGAGGGAAAAGCUCAAAUUUAAAAUCUGGCAGUCUUUGAUUGUCCGAGUUGUAAUUUAGAGAAGUGUUACCCGUGUUGGCCCGUGUACAAGUUUCCUGGAAUGGAACGUCAUAGAGGGUGAGAAUCCCGUCUUUGACACGGACUACCAAUGCAUUGUGGUAUGCUCUCGAAGAGUCGAGUUGUUUGGGAAUGCAGCUCUAAAUGGGUGGUAAAUUCCAUCUAAAGCUAAAUAUUGGGGAGAGACCGAUAGCGAACAAGUACCGUGAGGGAAAGAUGAAAAGAACUUUGGAAAGAGAGUUAAACAGUACGUGAAAUUGCUGAAAGGGAAACGCUUGAAGUCAGUCGCGUUAGUCGGGGAUCAGCCUUCCUUCUGGUUGGUGUACUUCCUGAUUGACGGGUCAGCAUCAGUUUUGACCGGUGGAUAAGAGCUUGAGGAAUGUGGCAUCUUCGGGUGUGUUAUAGCCUCUUGUUGUAUACAUCGGUUGGGACUGAGGAACUCAGCACGCCGCAAGGCCGGGUUUUUAACCACGUACGUGCUUAGGAUGCUGGCAUAAUGGCUUUAAUCGACCCGUCUUGAAACACGGACCAAGGAGUCUAACAUGCCUGCGAGUGUUUGGGUGGAAAACCCGAGCGCGUAAUGAAAGUGAAAGUUAGGAUCUCUGUCGUGGAGAGCACUGACGCCCGGCCCAGACCUUUUGUGACGGUGCCGCGGUUGAGCAUGUAUGUUGGGACCCGAAAGAUGGUGAACUAUGCCUGAAUAGGGUGAAGCCAGAGGAAACUCUGGUGGAGGCUCGUAGCGAUUCUGACGUGCAAAUCGAUCGUCGAAUUUGGGUAUAGGGGGCGAAAGACUAAUCGAACCAU